rnacentral:rRNA from 1 species
UACGUAGGGGGCUAGCGUUGUCCGGAAUCAUUGGGCGUAAAGCGCGUGUAGGCGGCCCGGUAAGUCCGCUCUGAAAGUCGGGGGCUCAACCCUCGGAUGCGGGUGGAUACUGUCGGGCUUGAGUGCGGAAGAGGCGAGUGGAAUUCCUGGUGUAGCGGUGAAAUGCGUCAGAGAUCAGGAGGAACACCCGGGGUGGACGGCGAAGGCCUGGGUCGUCUGGACCCGUACUACUGACGGCUGGACGGAAGCGAAAGGGACCGGGG